CCGCUGCCCUCCGCACUUCCAAUGCCGAUGGCUUCACAGCACUGCAGUGAAGCAGGGCGUAAGUAAGGGGAGGCUGUCUGUGGGCGCCUCUCUGGAGGCGUGCGCCCUGGUCGGAAGCCCCUUUUCACCUGUGGUCACGGUUGCCGGCUGCAGUUAUUUUCUUUACAGAAUGAGCUUGUUGGAUCCUACCCUUGCAUAAAGCUGAAAACCAACAUUUGUGAACAAUGGCAGGUGGCUGCGUGUCAAGGAUGCGGACCUGACUUCAAAGAGCUCACUGACAUCAGAAAGCGGCUUGAGACUGAGGACCCAGGAGAUGCCAGCCCAGCUCAGGGCAGCCUCUUCCAUUCCAAGGGUGCUGGAGAGGUGAGGACAGCUGCUCAUUUCACCUAUAAACUCUGCAGUGAGCAACCAAGAACCCCAAGACUACAAGGGGAUUUGAACAAUAAGUUCGGUCCUGUCACUCCCCCUCCUUCCAUAAGCUGCACUCAAGAAG
rnacentral:lncRNA from 1 species